GAAACUGAACAAGUUUGCAGCCAAAGAUGAUGUAGAAAGAGCCUGCCCAGAAGUUUGCAAGAAGUUCGUAGCCUGUCUCGCAAAAGACGAAGAAGCGGUCUUUCAGGAUAUAUUUGGCUUGCACGGGGGAGAUGUGGCCAUUAGGUGGCGCCGUCGGAUCAGGGCAAGGCUGAGCUGACAGGUCACAAGACCCUCAUGUGACAGUGUCUUCCCUAUACCCAGAUGGAAGCCUUAUCACUGAAGACAAAAAUGUGCCAAGAGGAAUCCUUACAAACAGGCCUUGCCAAGUUUCCCCCGGUUUACUCCCCUGUGUCAUACU